rnacentral:rRNA from 1 species
GGAGGAUUCGUCCAACGGAUUGAGUUACCUAGUGGCGGACGGGUGAGUAACGCGUGAGGAACCUGCCUUGGAGAGGGGAAUAACACUCCGAAAGGAGUGCUAAUACCGCAUGAUGCAGUUGGGUCGCAUGGCUCUGACUGCCAAAGAUUUAUCGCUCUGAGAUGGCCUCGCGUCUGAUUAGCUAGUAGGCGGGGUAACGGCCCACCUAGGCGACGAUCAGUAGCCGGACUGAGAGGUUGACCGGCCACAUUGGGACUGAGACACGGCCCAGACUCCUACGGGAGGCAGCAGUGGGGAAUAUUGGGCAAUGGGCGCAAGCCUGACCCAGCAACGCCGCGUGAAGGAAGAAGGCUUUCGGGUUGUAAACUUCUUUUGUCGGGGACGAAACAAAUGACGGUACCCGACGAAUAAGCCACGGCUAACUACGUGCCAGCAGCCGCGGUAAUACGUAGGUGGCAAGCGUUAUCCGGAUUUACUGGGUGUAAAGGGCGUGUANGCGGGAUUGCAAGUCAGAUGUGAAAACUGGGGGCUCAACCUCCAGCCUGCAUUUGAAACUGUAGUUCUUGAGUGCUGGAGAGGCAAUCGGAAUUCCGUGUGUAGCGGUGAAAUGC